rnacentral:tRNA from 1 species
UCGCCGCGGUGGGCCGCUUGCCCGCGAGCCGCGAGCCCGCGGCGCGCAGCCGCCGGCGUGCCGCCCGCCGGGCGCGGGUGCCGGCCCGGCGGCCCA